rnacentral:rRNA from 1 species
UGCGUAGGCGGAAUAUUAAGUCAGUGGUGAAAUCCUGCGGCUCAACCGUAGAACUGCCAUUGAUACUGAUAUUCUUGAAUGUAGUUGAGGUAGGCGGAAUGUGUAAUGUAGCGGUGAAAUGCUUAGAUAUUACACAGAACACCGAUUGCGAAGGCAGCUUACUAAACUAUGAUUGACGCUGAGGCACGAAAGCGUGGGGGGCGAACAGGAUUAGAUACCCUGGUAGUCC